rnacentral:rRNA from 1 species
UUCUUUGGAGAGUUUGAUCUUGGCUCAGGACGAACGCUGGCGGCGUGCCUAAUACAUGCAAGUCGAGCGCGGGAAGCAGGCAAACACCCUUCGGGGUGUGCGCCUGUGGAACGAGCGGCGGACGGGUGAG